CUCAAAUUAUUUAAACCACUCGCCGCCGUAGUCCAUCAAUGAGCGUUUCGAUGUCACUGGUACAGGGUGGUGCUGCCGGUGGUGCGCCUCAGGGCGCCAGCGCAAUAUUGGCCGCAGCGGCCCCGUACUACCAGCCGCCAGCGGUGCCGCAGGAUGUCCAGCCGGAUCGUCCCAUCGGCUAUGGUGCAUUCGGAGUAGUAUGGGCUGUCACAGAUCCUCGGGACGGCAGACGCGUGGCCCUCAAGAAGCUGCCAAAUGUGUUCCAAUCUUUGGUCUCAUCGAAGCGCGUGUUCCGCGAGCUGAAAAUGCUGUGCUUUUUCAAGCACGAGAAUGUUCUUUCGGCCCUGGACAUCUUGCAGCCGCCACAUUUGGAUUUCUUUCAGGAAAUCUAUGUGAUAACGGAGCUGCUGCAAUCGGAUCUGCACAAGAUAAUCGUGUCGCCGCAGCACCUAUCCGCCGACCACAUCAAGGUGUUCCUGUACCAGAUACUGCGGGGCCUCAAGUAUCUGCACUCGGCCCGCAUCCUGCAUCGCGACAUCAAGCCGGGCAACCUCCUGGUCAACUCGAACUGCGUGCUCAAGAUAUGCGACUUCGGGCUGGCCCGCGUGGAGGAGCCGGACCAGGCGAAGCACAUGACCCAGGAGGUGGUCACCCAGUACUACCGCGCCCCGGAGAUCCUGAUGGGGGCGCGGCACUACUCGUCGGCGGUGGACGUGUGGUCGGUGGGCUGCAUAUUCGGGGAGCUGCUCGGCCGGCGCAUCCUGUUCCAGGCGCAGAACCCCGUCCAGCAGCUGGAGCUGAUCACGGAGCUGCUGGGCACCCCCACCAUGGAGGACAUGCGGCACGCCUGCGAGGGGGCCCGGACCCACAUGCUGCGGCGCGCCCCCAAGCCGCCCUCCUUCUCGGUGCUGUACACCCUCAGCUCCCAUGCCACACACGAGGCGGUGCACCUGCUCUGCCAGAUGCUGGUCUUCGAUCCGGACAAGCGAAUCUCCGUCACAGACGCCCUGGCGCAUCCGUAUCUGGACGAAGGACGGCUGCGCUACCACUCGUGCAUGUGCAAAUGCUGCUUCACUACCUCAGCCGGGAUGCGCCAGUACACAGCCGACUUCGAGCCCUCCGCCGGCCAGCCCUUCGACGAUCUAUGGGAGCGCAAGCUCACCUCCGUGCAGCAGGUCAAGGAGGAGAUGCACAAGUUCAUCGCCGAGCAGCUGCAGACGGGUCGGGUGCCGCUCUGCAUCAAUCCGCAGAGUGCGGCCUUCAAGAGCUUUGCCAGCCAAUGAGAAUGAGAAUAUCUACUACUACCACUACCACUACUACCACCACCACCACCACAAGUUGCACUGCUGCUCCUGCCGCUGCUCCACUCCGCCGCCGCCUACUUCUUCGCUGCCCUCAAAGAAUCGAAUCAAGACCAGAUCUCGAGAGUCCAAGAUCCUAGGCGCGCGAUCUCCUACUACUAGAACGAAUCGAAAUAGCAAUGCAGAAGUCAGAAGAAGAUCUAAUCGAUAUGCAUAAUCUGCCGAAUGAUCGAAGCAAAUGAAAGCCAAGCCAAGCCAAGCCAAGCCAAGAUACAGAUACCAAGAUACCAUGAUACCAAGAUACAGAUACAGAAUGAGAUACAGAGGCCAAGGGCCGGGCAGCAGCUGUCUCUCGACUCCUCUUAGCUCGACUGUGGCCCAUCCUUCGGAACUGCCGCCGUCGCCGCAUCAAUGGGAAUGACGGCAAAAUGAGGCCAUUGCUGCCUAAAAUCGAAAUAAAAGCAAACACAAAAGCAAAAGCAAAAGCAAACCAACAGCCAAACCAUCAGGGAAGGAGCUAUCAGUCGCAAUCGCAAUCGGAGUCGCAGUCGCAGUCGCAGUCGGUGUCUCAGAACCUGAACCUGAACCCAAUCCCAAUCCCAAGAGACAACCUAGACAAAAUUCAGCCAGGAACAACGAUUCAAUGAUGUUGUGCAAGCGCCAAACAACUUUUAAGUGGGCGUUCCGUCUGUUUAAAGCAUUCCACCACCGAAAUUAACAAACUACAACAAAAGCAAAACAAAUAAUUAAUAAUACUGUAGACAAACAAACAAACAAAACAAACAAAUAACGUAACGUAACUCAACUGAAACUAGUCUAAACUGAAAAAAAAAGGAAAAACAAAAAACAAAAACAAACAAUUGUAGUUAAAGUAGCAGCAGAUACGCAGGAAAAGAGGAAAAAACAAAGAAAAAAAAAUUUCUUAUAAACAAACGAAAAAACCAACAAUAUUAAUUACAACAAUCAUAAGUUUCCGCCAGGAAGGAG